rnacentral:rRNA from 1 species
GUGCCAGCCGCCGCGGUAAUACGUAGGGGGCAAGCGUUGUCCGGAUUCAUUGGGCGUAAAGAGCGUGUAGGCGGCCAGGCAGGUCCGCUGUGAAAACUCGAGGCUCAACCUCGAGAUGUCGGUGGAAACCGUCUGGCUAGAGUCCGGAAGAGGAGAGUGGAAUUCCCGGUGUAGCGGUGAAAUGCGCAGAUAUCGGGAAGAACACCCGUGGCGAAGGCGGCUCUCUGGGACGGUACUGACGCUGAGACGCGAAAGCGUGGGGAGCGAACAGGAUUAGAUACCCCCGUAGUCC